rnacentral:rRNA from 1 species
UACGUAGGGGGCUAGCGUUGUCCGGAUUUAUUGGGCGUAAAGAGCGUGUAGGCGGCCAGGUAGGUCUGGUGUGAAAACUCGAGGCUUAACCUCGAGAUGUCAUCGGAAACCAUCUGGCUAGAGUCCGGAAGAGGAGAGUGGAAUUCCCAGUGUAGCGGUGAAAUGCGUAGAUAUUGGGAGGAACACCAGUGGCGAAGGCGACUACCUGGCCUGUUCUUGACGCUGAGGCGCGAAAGCUAGGGGAGCAAACGGG